GACGAACUGCCCAAACGUUGUUCGGAAUCACUGGGCUUAAAGGGCGCGUAGGCGGCAUUCCAAGUCAGGGGUGAAACCCGGCAGCUCAACUGUCGAAGUGCCUUUGAUACUGGAGUGCUCGAGGGAGGUAGGGGUCUGUGGAACUUCUGGUGGAGCGGUGAAAUGCGUUGAUAUCAGAAGGAACGCCGGUGGCGAAAGCGACGGACUGGACCUUUUCUGACGCUGAGGCGCGAAAGCUAGGGGAGCAAACGGG
rnacentral:rRNA from 1 species